rnacentral:rRNA from 1 species
AGCAGCCGCGGUAAUUCCAGCUCCAAUAGCGUAUAUUAAAGUUGUCGCAGUUAAAAAGCUCGUAGUUGAAUUUCGGGAUCAAUUAAUUGGUCGUGCCUAUGGUACGUACUGAUUUUAUUGGUUUCUCCCUUCUGACGAACCAUGAUGUCAUUAAUUUGGUGUCGUGGAGAAUCAGGACUGUUACUUUGAAAAAUUAGAGUGUUUAAAGCAAGCUAACGCUUGAAUACAUUAGCAUGGAAUAAUGAAAUAGGACGUUUGAUCCUAUUUUGUUGGUUUCUAGGAUCGACGUAAUGAUUAAUAGGGAUAGUUGGGGGCAUUAGUAUUCAAUUGUCAGAGGUGGAAUUCUUGGAUUUAUUGAAGACUAACUACUGCGAAAGCAUUUGCCAAGGAUGUUUUCAUUAAUCAAGAACGAAAGUUAGGGGAUCGAAGACGAUCAGAUACCGUCGUAGUCUUAACCAUAAACUAUGCCGACUAGGGAUCGGAUGAUGUUAAUUUUUAAUGACUCA